rnacentral:lncRNA from 1 species
UUCAUAUUAGGCCAUGUUUGGAAGGAGGCCAUUUAGGAGAGUGAAGAAUCAAAACAUUCCUCCGCCGCCUGGCUGCUCACCUCAAAGUUCAUCUGUUCAAAUUCCUGGUGUAUGCCUCUUCGUGCGGUCCUCGAUGUGUUCAGAAGAUCGAGUGUAUAAUUUGUCCACUUGGCACCAUGAGGGCAUACCUGGCGACAGAGCGCUCCACGCCAUUGCAGAACCAAUGUAGAGAAAGGCAUGUCUACCAUGCAAGGGAUAUGCCGUGCAUGUAGCAGCCAUUGAUUUUCUUGGAGAUUCACAUGCAUUCACGACUACAGCUUAUAGUUGGUAAGCCUUUUCUCUCACUACUGCUCUAGCUAUGCUCCAUCAUCCCGCGCAUUUUCAUUCUAUUCCCAAGUCGUAAUCUAUUUUAUAUUUUCAACCGGAAGUCCAAUUUUAUGAUCCAUUAUAUUUGUGUUUAUGAGGAUGAGGACUCUAAAAUGAGACCACUUUUGAUUAUAUUUCAACUUAAAAUUCAAAUUUUGAAACAUGGUGAAACACGAUGGUACAUUCUGGAACACGAUGCCCCCGAAUGAAACUGGAUAUAAGCUACUCUUGUUUACUAAGGUUUACAUAUCAUACAAAACAAUUUAAACCACAGUAACACACGAUGAAACACUUUGGUAAACAGUGUAACAUUAUGAUACGCUACGGAACAUGGCGAGCCAUAGUGAAACAAUAAGAUUAUUUAUGCGAAACGGAAUAAAACAUUAUUGAUUUUUCACAUGGAAUUAAUGAAUUUGGACGAAACAAGUUUGAAGCCUGGUGAGUUAAUUGUCAAUAAUUUCAAGUGCUAAAUUCAAUAUUGGUUGUUUUAAAGAUCUUGCUUCAGAAAACACAUUUGUGUAAACAGAAAGUAAAAUAAAAUUUGUGUGUGGAAAUGUUGAUCUCAUAAAGCAGGCUCAUGAUUUCUUGGUAGAAGAAUUUAAUUCCUACUCGAUGUAUGAUUGUUCUUUCCUGAAUAUAUUGACACACAAAAGAACUAAAUAUAUCUACUAUGUCUGUGGGCAUAUUCUAAAUUUGUAGAAUCAACGCAAACAUGAUAAUAAAUUUGUAGUUGUUUUUCAGAUGCUACACGCGAGAGGAAGGGCGCGUCAUGCGGUGCCGUGUAUGUGGUAGUGUUUUCAUUUUCCAUGCGGUAUGCCAUAUUGUCCAGUUUGUACGUAUUUGUGAUUUCCCACUUAAUACAGUGUUAACUAUAUGCUAAACUUCUUUC